rnacentral:rRNA from 1 species
GUAGUUAGCCGUGGCUUCCUCCCAUGGUACCGUCAUUUCUUUCUUCCCAUAGGACAGAUGUUUACAAUCCGAAGACCUUCUUCCUUCACGCGGCGUUGCUGGGUCAGGCUUGCGCCCAUUGCGCAAGAUUCCCCACUGCUGCCUCCCGUAGGAGUCUGGGCCGUGUCUCAGUCCCAAUGUGGCCGGUCAUCCUCUUAGAUCGGCUACCCAUCGUCGCCUUGGUGAGCCGUUACCUCUCCAACUAGCUAAUGGGACGCGAACUCACCCCAAAGCGGAUCUCUCCUUUUACCCCUUCGCCAUGUGACGUUGUGGUCUUAUGCGGUAUUAGCAACUGUUUCCAGUUGGUAUCCCCCUCUUUGGGACAGAUUGUUCACGCGUUACUCACCCGUCCGCCACUCGAUCACAACCGAAGCUAUGACCUCGUUCGACUUGCAUGUGUUAAGCACGCCGCCAGCGUUCAUCCUGAGCCAANAUACAACCUACANANAGAGGCGNGNGAGACGCG